rfam:Schistosoma mattheei strain Denwood, Zambia genome assembly, scaffold: SMTD_scaffold0027621
ACCCAGUUGAAGAGUACCAAAUAGAACGAAACGCGAGUCCUGGAC